rnacentral:rRNA from 1 species
CAGCCGCCACGGGAAAACGGAGGGUGCAAGCGUUAAUCGGAAUUACUGGGCGUAAAGCGUGCGUAGGCGGUUCGUUAAGUCUGUUGUGAAAGCCCCGGGCUCAACCUGGGAAUGGCAGUGGAUACUGGCGAGCUAGAGUGUGUCAGAGGAUGGUGGAAUUCCCGGUGUAGCGGUGAAAUGCGUAGAGAUCGGGAGGAACAUCAGUGGCGAAGGCGGCCAUCUGGGACAACACUGACGCUGAAGCACGAAAGCGUGGGGAGCAAACAGGAUUAGAUACCCGCGUAGUCCCUGUCUCUUAUAC